UUAUCCACUGCCUCGUUUGACGUUUGUCACACACUUGAUGCUGGGAGAAUGCAGGAAAAGAAAGGCAGAUCACUGUAGGCUAUAACAAUCUCAUUUUAUUCUCUACUCCGAACAAUCAAUUUAAAAUGAACAGUCCUCACAGGUUCCAUUAUUAUAAAAGGCCAAAUGUUUACGUCAUAUCUCCGCAUACAGUAAUAGAAAGGAUACAUGACAUUCUAAAUCAGAUAAUAUACUAAUAAUGAAAGCUGUUCCUGUAAAACCACUCUGCAACAUUCCUCGGGCGUUCACACAAAGACAAAUUUAUUCCUUCCAUUCAUUAAUAUCAUAUUUACUGCCCAAUAGUUUUGCUCCGCUGCUCAGUUUCACACUCUGUCUGCACUCAACCUCCAAUUCCAAAUUCAUCCUCUCUGCACCUUUCUUCCUCUUUCCCUCGCUCCCUGUCUCCUGCUAUCCUGAAGUGGUUACGUUUCAUUUUUGGUUUCUCGAAAGAAAACUUCCUUUUGCCUCAGUUACCACUAUAGAGGUUGCAGUGGUUGGAGCAUUCCAGAAAGCCUAGCUGUGUUUGUGAUACCUUGAUGGCUUUCUCGCACCAUCAGAGGAUUAAACUGAAUUCACAUUGAUUUGAAAGAUGGCUUCUUUUUUCAGACUGCCUGGGUGAUCUCAGUGCUGAGACCGUCCGCCAUGUCAGAGACUGCGUCGGGAACAUCGCGGACAUCCCCACUCAGGUUUGCCUCCUUUUUCAGUUCAGAGUCACUCUGCAUCUUGAUAGGCAUCUCGUCGGACUUUUCAUUACCGUUAACACAUUCCUCUAUCUGUGGGACGGAUGAAUGUGUGCACUCUCCAUUCACAGCUGGACGUGCAUCUACUUCCACCACAUCCUCAGUACCAGAAGGGCUCUUUAUAUCUCCGUUCUCCAUCUUGUUUACUACCUCGGGCUCCGGGAGAGACGCCUCUUCCACGGGGGCCUCAGCUACCUCUUCAUACUCAGCAGUAAUUUCGGUGGCAGAGACGGACUCUGAGAUGACUAUCUGAGGGACAGGUUCUGCUGCUUCUGGCUCAGAUGCUGCCUCUGGUACUGAUUGGUCUUCUGCAGGCUGAUAAUCAGUGGCCACAAGCUCAACUGCUUCUGCUUCCACAUUCUCAACUUCAGUAACCUCAGUUACCUUGAUUGGUUCUGGUGCAAAUUCUCCUACAUGUUCAUCUGCUGCAGAUUCUAUUGCAUCGGCCACCUGGUCAGGCUCUGGCUGUAGUACUUGCUCUGGUUCUGGCUCUGGUAAUUGUUCAAGCUCCGGCUCUGGUGCUUCUGCUUCACAUUCGGGCUCGGACGCUUCUACUGAUUCUUGUCGUGGCUCUGACUCAAGCUCUGCUGCCGGCUCUGGUUCUGGGGCUUGCUCCAGCACUGGCUCUGCAGCUUGCUCAGCCAUUGGCUCAGAUUCCAGGACAGCCGCGGGGACCAUUGUCGCCUCCGAAGUGGCUUCUCGCUCAGUAACAGUCUCUGGGAUUGUCUCUGGCUUGAGUGCUUCCACUGUGCUGACAGGAACCGCCUCUGGCUCUGGAACAAUUUGUACAGCUUCUACAAUGACCUCUUCAGGUGCAGCUUCACACUCAACCUUAAUGGCCUCAGGUUCUUCUCCUGCUACUGCUGUUGUAACCUCUGGGAGCUCUACUGGAAGCUCUUCUGGGAGCUCUACUGCGGCCUGUUCCUCUACAACUGAUGCUGACUUCAUUGCUACUGCAGCUGGUUCCUCUGUUGCCAUAACAGGUUCUUCCACUGCUGCAGCUGGUUUCCCUGCUGGUAGAGCUGGUUCCUCUACUGGUGCAGCUAGUUCUUGUGUAACUGCAGCUGCCUUCUCUUCGGCAAGAAUUUCUUCUUCUACUGCAGGCGCUUGUUCUUGUGCCACUGGAGCUGCCUUCUCUUCUGCAGGAGCUUUUUUUUCUACAGCAGGAGCUGCCUCCUCUGGAGCUGCAGGAGCUGGUACCUCUGGUGCUGCAGGAGCUGGUUCCUCUGGAGCUGCAGCAGCUGGUUCCUCUGGAGCUGCAGCAGCUGGUUCCUCUGGAGCUGCAGCAGCUGGUUCCUCUGGAGCUAAAGGAGCUGAUGCCUCUGGAGCUAAAGGAGCUGAUACCUUCAGAGGUGCAGAAGGUGGUUCCUCUGGAGGUGCAGGAGCUAGUUCCUCUGGAGCUGCAGGAGCUGGUACCUCUGCAGCAGCUGGUUCCUCUCGAGCUGCGGCAGCAGAUUCCUCUGCAGCUGGUUCCUCUGGUGGUGCACACUUGGGCACUUCUGGAGCUGCAGCAGCAGGUUUCUCUGCAGCUGGUUCCUCUGGUGGUGCAGACUUGGGCUCUUCUGGAGCUUGCACGGCUUCAGUUACUGCUGCCACAGCUGACCCCACAGCUUCCUCUAUCACAUUGCCUGCCUCAGUGGUCACACUAGCUUCUGCGGGCGAGGCUCCGUCCUCCACUUUAGCUGACUCUUCCGCACCACCAGCAGUCGCAGGGGUCCCGUCCUUCAGCUCUUUUGGAUCGCUCACAUCGUAUCCUUUCCUCUUCCUGCUCAGUUUGUUUCCCAUGAUGUCUCCUAGGAACAAUUAGACAAAGGUGUAUUUUAAUAUGAGAGAGAAAACAGUGUUUAAAAGCGG
ensembl:lncRNA